rnacentral:rRNA from 1 species
CCUACGGGCGGCAGCAGUGAGGAAUAUUGGUCAUUGGACGAGAGUCUGAACCAGCCAAGUAGCGUGAAGGAUGACUGCCCUAUGGGUUGUAAACUUCUUUUAUAUGGGAAUAAAACGUUCCACGUGUGGGAUUUUGUAUGUACCAUAUGAAUAAGGAUCGGCUAACUCCGUGCCAGCAGCCGCGGUAAUACGGAGGAUCCGAGCGUUAUCCGGAUUUAUUGGGUUUAAAGGGAGCGUAGGUGGAUUGUUAAGUCAGUUGUGAAAGUUUGCGGCUCAACCGUAAAAUUGCAGUUGAAACUGGCAGUCUUGAGUACAGUAGAGGUGGGCGGAAUUCGUGGUGUAGCGGUGAAAUGCUUAGAUAUCACGAAGAACUCCGAUUGCGAAGGCAGUUCACUGGACUGCAACUGACACUGAGGCUCGAAAGUGUGGGUAUCAAACAGGAUUAGAUACCCCAGUAGUC